rnacentral:rRNA from 1 species
GCACAAGCGGUGGAGCAUGUGGUUUAAUUCGACGCAACGCGAAGAACCUUACCUGGGCUCGAAAUGUACCGGAAUCCGGCAGAAACGUCGGCGUCUAGCAAUAGACCGGUAUAUAGGUGCUGCAUGGCUGUCGUCAGCUCAUGUCGUGAGAUGUUGGGUUAAGUCCCGCAACGAGCGCAACCCUUAUCUCCAGUUGCUACCAUUUAGUUGAGCACUCUGGCGAAACCGCCUCGGAUAACGGGGAGGAAGGUGGGGAUGACGUCAAGUCCUCAUGGCCUUUAUGUCCAGGGCUACACACGUGCUACAAUGGCCGGUACAAACCGCUGCAAACCCGCGAGGGGGAGCUAAUCGGAAAAAGCCGGCCUCAGUUCGGAUUGGAGUCUGCAACUCGACUCCAUGAAGCUGGAAUCGCUAGUAAUCGUGGAUCAGCAUGCCACGGUGAAUACGUUCCCGGGC